rnacentral:rRNA from 1 species
GACGAACGCUGGCGGCAUGCCUAAUACAUGCAAGUCGAGCGAACAGAUGAAGUGCUUGCACUUCUGACGUUAGCGGCGAACGGGUGAGUAACACGUAGGGAAUCUGCCUAUAAGCGGGGGAUAACAUUCGGAAACGGGUGCUAAUACCGCAUAAUAUCUUCUUCCGCAUGGAAGAAGAUUGAAAGACGGCUCUGCUGUCACUUAUAGAUGACCUUGCGGUGCAUUAGUUAGUUGGUGGGGUAACGGCCUACCAAGACGAUGAUGCAUAGCCGACCUGAGAGGGUGAUCGGCCACAUUGGGACCGAGACACGGCCCAAACUCCUACGGGAGGCAGCAGUAGGGAAUCUUCCGCAAUGGGCGAAAGCCUGACGGAGCAAUGCCGCGUGAGUGAAGAAGGCCUUCGGGUCGUAAAACUCUGUUAUAAGAGAAGAACAAAUUGUAGAGUAACUGCUACAGUCUUGACGGUAUCUUAUCAGAAAGCCACGGCUAACUACGUGCCAGCAGCCGCAGUAA